UCGAAGCGCAAGAACUGACAGAGACUCCCAUAACUGCUGUCUUAGUUUGAGACAUCGCGCGACACAUGUCACCACCAAUUCGUGUUUUACACGACUGCCCUUUCCUGUCUCACGUUAUCGGUUAUUUCUUCCCCGCCUUCUCCUUCCUUCCUCCCUCUCUUUCUCGCUUCUUCUGUUUUCUCUCUCUCUAGAGCUCUCAACUGCCUUCGAUCCCUUUUUCAACCCAACUACGUUUUCCUCAGAUCCACGCUUUUCCAUUCCAUAUAUCUCCUACCUCAUUUCUCGUCAAUUUUGCUCUCACCUGGACUGAAAUAUCUAGGUCUAGCCCUUUACCCCUCUAUGCCAUUCCCGCAGCUCUGGAUCGAGUAGAUCUUGCGGUUUAUCUGUUUGAAGAAUGAGUUUUUAAUUGGAUUGUUUUAUCCGUUUGCGGCUUUUGAUCGGUGGAUCUAGUUAGAGGCGCCGUGGUUAUUUUCGAUAAACUAACCUGAGCUUGCAAAUUGAAUUAUUGUACCAUACAUAAAGAGCAAGGGGACACAUUAUCUGACUUAGAACCAAUCAGUCUUUUUUUGAUUGGGUGACAACUAGAACCAAGCAGCGUGCUGUAUGAAAAUAGCAUUUGAGAAGGGUGUACUUGAACCAG